AGGGUUUGAUCAUGGCUCAGAUUGAACGCUGGCGGCAGGCUUAACACAUGCAAGUCGAGCGGAGAUGAGGUGCUUGCACCUUAUCUUAGCGGCGGACGGGUGAGUAAUGCUUAGGAAUCUGCCUAUUAGUGGGGGACAACAUUCCGAAAGGAAUGCUAAUACCGCAUACGCCCUACGGGGGAAAGCAGGGGAUCUUCGGACCUUGCGCUAAUAGAUGAGCCUAAGUCGGAUUAGCUAGUUGGUGGGGUAAAGGCCUACCAAGGCGACGAUCUGUAGCGGGUCUGAGAGGAUGAUCCGCCACACUGGGACUGAGACACGGCCCAGACUCCUACGGGAGGCAGCAGUGGGGAAUAUUGGACAAUGGGCGGAAGCCUGAUCCAGCCAUGCCGCGUGUGUGAAGAAGGCCUUUUGGUUGUAAAGCACUUUAAGCGAGGAGGAGGCUACUUAGAUUAAUACUCUAGGAUAGUGGACGUUACUCGCAGAAUAAGCACCGGCUAACUCUGUGCCAGCAGCCGCGGUAAUACAGAGGGUGCGAGCGUUAAUCGGAUUUACUGGGCGUAAAGCGUGCGUAGGCGGCUGAUUAAGUCGGAUGUGAAAUCCCUGAGCUUAACUUAGGAAUUGCAUUCGAUACUGGUCAGCUAGAGUAUGGGGAGAGGAUGGUAGAAUUCAGGGGUGUAGCGGUGAAUUGCGUAGAGAUCUGGAGGAAUACCGAUGGCGAAGGCAGCCAUCUGGCCUAAUACUGACGCUGAGGUUCGAAAGCAUGGGGAGCAAACAGGAUUAGAUACCCUGGUAGUCCAUGCCGUAAACGAUGUCUACUAGCCGUUGGGGCCUUUGAGGCUUUAGUGGCGCAGCUAACGCGAUAAGUAGACCGCCUGGGGAGUACGGUCGCAAGACUAAAACUCAAAUGAAUUGACGGGGGCCCGCACAAGCGGUGGAGCAUGUGGUUUAAUUCGAUGCAACGCGAAGAACCUUACCUGGCCUUGACAUAGUAAGAACUUUCCAGAGAUGGAUUGGUGCCUUCGGGAACUUACAUACAGGUGCUGCAUGGCUGUCGUCAGCUCGUGUCGUGAGAUGUUGGGUUAAGUCCCGCAACGAGCGCAACCCUUUUCCUUAUUUGCCAGCGAGUAAUGUCGGGAACUUUAAGGAUACUGCCAGUGACAAACUGGAGGAAGGCGGGGACGACGUCAAGUCAUCAUGGCCCUUACGGCCAGGGCUACACACGUGCUACAAUGGUCGGUACAAAGGGUUGCUACCUAGCGAUAGGAUGCUAAUCUCAAAAAGCCGAUCGUAGUCCGGAUUGGAGUCUGCAACUCGACUCCAUGAAGUCGGAAUCGCUAGUAAUCGCGGAUCAGAGUGCCGCGGUGAAUACGUUCCCGGGCCUUGUACACACCGCCC
rnacentral:rRNA from 1 species